AAAAAAAAAAAGAUACACAGUUGACUCAUCGCAUUUACGGGUUCUACAUCCACAGAUUCAACCAACUACAGAUAAAAAAUAUUAAAACAUAAAAAAAACUUAAACAUACAGUGUGUCAGCUAUUUACAUAAUAUUUAUAUUGUACUUGGUAUUAUAAGUAAUCCAGAGAUGAUUUAAAGUGUACAGGAGGAUGUGCCUAGAUUGUGUGCAAAUACAACACUAUUUGAUGUAAGGUAGUUGAGGAUCCACAGAUGUUGGUACCAAGGGAGGCUCUGGAAUCAAUCCCCAUGGACACGUAGGGCCAAGUGUACUUUACAACCACAUGGUGGACACUUCCAUUUUUUUUCUGCUGCCAUAAUUGGGCAUAUAACAAUCAUGUCUCUUAUCUAUAACUGUUAAAAUAAAACUUGAGGCAUCGUCUAUAAGAAGCAUCACGUAUGAGAAGUAUCAUCUGUAAAUGAUAAAAUCUUUGAUUUCUCUCUCAAAGGUCAUAUUUAAAGAAUUUAUAUGCAGCUUAGGUUGAAAAAUAAUAAAUGCGCUCUAAAAUAGAAUACCUUGUUGAAUAGGAGAAAUUUAUGACACCUUUUUUUAUGACUGAUUUUUAAAUAUAGAGUAGAAUUUUAAAACUGAGUAUAAAAAUAUAAAGUAGAAUUCUGAAGCUCAUUUUAGAAAAGUGAGUAUAUCGGUAAAAGUAAAACCUCAGAGACCUUGGAAAAUAUUAAAGUUCAUAUUUUAUGGCAAAAAUUUUAUUGAGAAAAUUUUCUCAAAAUUCAGCAAGACAUACCAACUAUAAUCAUGCUGUUGUAUCUUUAUUAGAUAAUCAUAAAAUAUAUUUAUUUUAAUAGGUAAUUAUGCCUGUGUUGCUGUGUGUACUUUGACUCCAUACCAUGCAAAUACACCUAUAAAAUAAUUAUCUUCUUUAAAUACUAGGAUUUUCUCUCUUGUUUGUUGCCAAAAUGUUUUUCUCAUACUCCCAAUGUUAAAAUCACCCAUUAUUAUAACUAUUUGUUUGCAUAUUCGAUUCCUCUCUUACUCUUCCAGAAGUUCAGUUAUUCAUUAAAACAUUUGACAGUGUUUGUUACAUAAUAAUUUUAAUCAGAAACUACAUAUUUUAUAUCCGGAGCUUUAAAAUUAUGUCUGGUCAGCUAUACUGUUGAAAAUAGAAAUUGAUUUACUUACUAUUUUAUUGUAGUUUCAUACUUUUUACAAUGGCUAGUUUUAAAAAGAGGCAACUUGCACACAAUUGAAGUGGAUCAACCCCUCUUAACCAGUUGUGGCUAUAAAGAUUGACAGCAGUGGGUGGUCAGCCUUCCUUUCAUUCUUCCAUGUACACAGGUGCCAAAAUCGGACAGAUUUUAAUUUGAUAUUUAUCAUUUCUACUUGUAAUAGAAAUGUCAUCAGGAUUCAGUUACUUCUAUGUCAACAUGGAAUUAUGUAAUCUGCUCUCAAAAUUCAAAAGACUACCAACAUGUAUUAAAAUGUCGAUCAAGAAUUCAUAUAUACAUUUCAAGAAUAUGUUGAAUUAACAGAUGAAAAAAACUCCUUAGAAAAAGUGGUCAAAUAUUUCAAGUGAAGUUUGGUGGGGAAGUAAAAUCUUUAAGAAAUUACUAUGCAUCAUUGUCAGUUAAGUGCAAUAUAAAAUGGACAUACAUAAAUGAAAAAGCCAGAAUAAAUAAAGUUGACAGAGAAAUUUAAAAGAAGCAAGAAGCCGUUUUCCACACCCAUACCCUGGUUGCACAUUGACCACACACUCCAAAAUAGGGAGGAAAACCGAGACAACACCCUGAAAGAAAACAAAACCAGAAACAGCACUUUACAAGAAAUUCUCCAGAAUCUUAUAAUACAAAGACAUUUUCUACAACUCAGAUCUCCUUUCCAGAUUAGCCUAAUUUCUUUUUAUUUCAAGAAAUGUGCUUCUGAAUUAUCAAAUAAACUCUCUCAAUCUCUGCUUCUGCCUGAAGUUGAAUGGAUGAAACAACUAAAAAUCUGAAGAUUUUAUAAGAUUUCCAUAUGCUGUAGACCACAAGGACGAAGGCAGUUGUUGUCCUACCUGGAAGCAGGCAGUGCCUUGACUCAUUUGCUCCAGACCCUGUCUCUGACAUGCUUGGCAGACAUUCUCCCCAGAUGAGUCACUCCUGAGACCUGCAUUUGAGUGGAUCUUCCAUGUCCUGCAACCCUGAUUUCCACCUCAGCCAUUCUUACCCUUAUUACCUUAUCCAUGUCAUUAUUGAACUUGCUCCCUGCUAUAGACUUUGCAUGUGUGUGGACCUCCAAAAUUCCUAUUUUGAAAUCUAAUCACUGAUAUGCAAUAGAAUUAAGUGGUGAGGACUUUUGAGAGGUGACUGGGUCAUUGAUAUGGUUUGGCAGUGUCCCAUCCAAAUCUCAUCUUGAAUUGUAACUCCCACAAUUUCCACAUGUCAUGGGAGGGACCUGGUGGCAGGUGAUUGAAUUAUGGGGGCAGCCCUUUUCCUGCACUGUUUUUGUGGUAGUGAAUGAGUCCCAUGAGAUCUGAUGGUUUUAAAAAGGGGAAUUUCCCUGCACAAGUUCUUCUCUUGUCUGCCACCAUGUGAGACGUGCCUUUCACCUUCUGCCAUGAUUGUGAGACCUCCCCAGCUACGUGGAACUGUAAGUCCAAUAAAUCACUUUCUUUUGUAAAUUUCCCAGUCUCAGGUAUGUCUUUAUCAGCAGUGUGAAAACAGACUAAUACAGUCAUGAAAGUGGAGCCCUUAUGAAUGUGAAUAGUGCCUUAUUAAAACAGGCUUGAGGAAACUUGCUCACCCAUUUCACCAUUUGAGGACACAGCUAAAAGGGGCCAUCUAUGAGGAACAGGCUUUCACCAGAUGCAAAAUCUGCUACCUUAAUCUUUGACCUCACAGAUUUCAGAAUUGUGAGCAAGACAUUUCUGUUGUGUAUAAAUGACCUAGCGUUAGGUAUUUGUUUAUGACAGCCCCACCAGACAAAUACACUCCCCAGUGCCCCAUCUCAUCAACAGCCAUAG
rnacentral:lncRNA from 10 species